CAGCCGCCGCGGUAAAACGAAGGGUGCAAGCGUUACUCGGAAUUACUGGGCGUAAAGCGUGCGUAGGUGGUGGUUUAAGUCCGUUGUGAAAGCCCUGGGCUCAACCUGGGAAUGGCAGUGGAUACUGGCUCGCUAGAGUGUGUCAGAGGAUGGUGGAAUUCCCGGUGUAGCGGUGAAAUGCGUAGAGAUCGGGAGGAACAUCAGUGGCGAAGGCGGCCAUCUGGGACAACACUGACGCUGAGGCACGAAAGCGUGAGGAGCGAACAGGAUUAGAUACCCCUGUAGUCCCUGUCUCUUAUAC
rnacentral:rRNA from 1 species